rnacentral:lncRNA from 1 species
UUCUAUUUGGAAACAGCCUCUCUACCCCAGGGUAGAGGUAAGGUCUGCGUAUAUACUACCCUCCCCAGACUCCACUAUGUGGCAUUAUACUGGGUUGUUGUUGUUGUUGUUGUCGUCGUCUAUUCUAUUCAGUAGUCAGAGGAUUCACCAAGUUAGACUAGUUUUACAUCCGUAGUCAACCUACAGGGUACAACAACGCUCUUCUUUUUAUCCAGGUUCAGGACUGGCUACAUUUGCAAAAAUCACACAGUCGAAGUUAAUGUGUUAGAUAUUUAAACACACACCCUCUCUUGCUCUUCAAGCUGAGGGGCAAGUCCAUAGAUAGCCAUUCCCACGGAUGCUAUUUAGAAAUUAACCAUUACUUAUUUUGUCCUUUAAUUUUAAACUGAAAAUCUUAACUUCAAGACACUUUUACCCCAAAAGUUGAACUGGAAAACUAAAAUUCAAAAUGUACUGGCUAAUAUCUUAAUAGCAGCCCUUUAGAGUAGCUACGUGGUGUCAUAUGAUCACUCAAAAUGCAAUGUCGACAAUUCGGGCCCUAAUAAUUGGAGCUUACUGGGAGUUAGGCUUCCAUCUAUUCCAACCAAGUAUAUUCAUACAUAUCAACAUCAAACUUAUAUACACUAUUUUCAUAUAGUAGCGUAGGUGAUGGAUGCCGAAGGCAAUAAAAUAUUAGGCAGUGAUUGAAGCAAUAAAUGUUUUCAUAACCAAUGUCCCUUUAAGGCCACUUGCAAAGUAGGAUCCACGACAUAUACAUUUUUUUUUUUUUUGACAUGUUGAUCCAGGUUCUAACCAAAGUCCCUCUAAGGCCAUUUGCAAAGUAAGAUCCACGACAUAUACAUUUAUUUUUUUUUGACAUGUUGAUCCAGGUUACAUCAGGAAAAUAUUUGCUUGUACAAACUCUUACAAGUGACUCAUAAACUAGAGAAGCUUCUUUCUUUUUGUGUUGGACCACUUAAUAUGAAAUCCUUGCUACAUAACCUACUGUGCAUAAACUAAAGCAGCCACAUACCAAGUUUUCUUAGUUUUCCAUGCAUUAAAAUUUUCUCCCACAUGUGAUUGUAAAGGCUAUUAAAUGGUAUAGUUAAUUUCCUUGGAUGGUCACCAUCUAAAGAAAGAGACUUUCUUGCAAUUUCCUAUUCGUAUAUGUAAUUGUCUCACACUUUCUUUUGUCACAGACCAAGCUAAUUAUUCAUUCUAAAUUCAAUCAGUUGAAGUUGAUUGCAUUUCUCUCUCUCUUGUUCUCUUUUGGCUUUAUAUCCUACUUGGUAGGUCGGAAAUUAAUAAGGGGUAUGUGUUGGCACCUCACAUGUCACUUACCUAUAAUCUAAACAUGGAAAACGUAAACAUGUAUAGUUGGCAUUUCAGUGUCAAUGCCGUAAUAACAGAUCAUGUACAUGCAGCCCUACGCACUUUCAUAGUCAUGUUUGGUGAAAGAAAUUAAUUUCAAAAAGAGAACUUACUGCAAUUUUCACCCCNNN